rnacentral:ncRNA from 1 species
AUCUCGGGGCAGGGUUUGAUUCCCGACCGGCGGUAUAGCCCGCGAGCUUUAUGUGUUAAGUCACAAAAGGCAGAUCUUGUUCGAUUCAAGAGCCGACAGUAUAGUCUGGAUGAGAGAGAU